UGAACACAGGGCCUUUGUACAGAGCUACAUCCUUAACCUUUUUAAAAUUUUUUUAUUUUGAGACAGGGUCCCUCUAAGUCACUACAUUUGCCCAGGCUGGGUCUGAACUUGUGAUCCUCCUUCCUCCGCUUUCCAGAGUGCUGGAAUUAUAGGUGUGUGCCGCCAUACCUGGCUGUGAGGUAUUUUCCAUAAUUACUUGUAUUUUGCAUUUAUCAUAAUUGUUUGUUUUAUGCUUGCACAUUUUAGAUGUUUUUACAAAGCACAUUAAUGGAUUUCCCUUUAAAAACUUUUUUUUAAGUUGCUUCUUCUGCAUGUCCCUAGGUAACACCAUCAUUUGCUGGUAAUAAUGUUGUCUUCUUAUUUCUCUUCAUUCAGAGCUCCUAUUUCUUAUACCUAAUCCCAGUGGUUAAAAUUGCCAGGAGAGUGUGAAGAUGCUGGGUGCUAUUGGAGCCCAUGCUUGGCACAUGUUUGUUUCCAGAUUCAGAUACGGGAUGGCCAUUCCAUAUAAAGAUCCACAAGAGUGUAGAGUGUAACCCUGUCCUGUUGCAGCUGAGCAUGCCGGUGUAGCCAGAAGUGCUCACAUGUGUGCCUCCAAGGUCACACAAAGACUAAAUGUCAGGGCUGCGCGUGGGCCCUGGUCUCUGACUCACGGCGAUUGUCAUCACCGUGACUGGUCUCUGAUGGGAUACUACUGUCCUGCAGAGACAUCCAGACAGGCUUCAGUGCAUGCAUUUCCUGCAUUUCAAGCAGUGUCUGUUGUAUUAAAGUAACCUGAUCAGGCUAUUGACAGUUGAAUACAGUACUUGACCUAGGUAAUGUCACUGUGAGAGAUACAAAUUUCAGUGGUUCAUAAGAUCUUACUUGCAGGCAAGUUUAGACCAAUUACAUUUUUCAAAUUUGCCUGUGCUUUUAAAGUUUUUGUGUUCAUUUCUUUGGAGAGGGACUUGUUUCAACUAGUGGGAACAACUGGAAAGUCAGUGCUAUUCGAGCGCCUCCUGUGUGCCAGGCCCUGUGCUAGGGAUGGUCCCUGCCCUUGAUAGCCUCAUCGCCAGCUAGUUCACCGCCUUUUCCAAAAUACUGUUUUCUGCUUUUCCUCAGAUUUUAGUUUCCCUAAUAAAAAUGUGUAAUUUAAAUCAAUUCUGGUUCAGGGUGCCUUCUGAAAAUUGUAGAAAACAUCAUUGACUUGCUGCAUGUUUUCUGUUGUUUCAUAUGCAGUAUCAGAGAGACCUGAACAAAGGACACGCACACCUGAUUAGGAAGGAUGACCGCGUCAUGGUGUGGAGUCCCAUCUUUUAUAACAUAACCGUCUGCUCACCACCCUCCUGGAGCCCAGCGAGUGUGCCAGGCACCGCCUCGCCUGUGUCUUGCUGAAGUUUCAGAGCUGAGGUACGAGGCUCUCGCCCUCUGUCUGCAGCUCCUGUGCUGCUCUUUGAGGUCCGCGUGGGAGCUGCUGCCCCACUUCAGCCUUACAUCAGAGCCACAUCGUGCUACAAAAGCACGCUGCGGAUUUUAUGGUGGAUGGCUGGGCUUGACUGCCCUUUGAGAAGAGCCUGGUGCUGUGCAUACUAAGGGAAAGGUGAUUUGGGGAUUGUUUUUAAUGGUAAGCAGUGCAGAAGAAAGAGCUGAAGGAGAGAGCACAGGCUGCGUGCUGAGUGAAAUGCCUUCCUACUGCUGGCUGUACUCAGGCGCCAGAGGCACAUCCUGACGUGGAGAGACCUGGCCACUCCCCGCUGGGGGCCAUCGGUGUUCAUGCCCAGAAACGUUCUCUUCCUGUUACAGGCUGCCUGGCAUCCCUGGCUUGAGCCCAGGGGAGACUCAAGUCAAAAGUCACUCUGGGAGAGAACUGGGGCUGGAAGCUCUCGUGGGCUGAGGGAGGCCGCUCCAGGGGAGUCAUCUACACCGUCUCCAGCAGCUCUCAUGGCCUGGUCAUGGCUCCUCCGGACCACUCUGCUGUGUUCCUCCUACCACUCUGCCCCUGCCACAUGGCUACCUGGCUUGUUAGGUACCACCUUCCUUGAAAAAGGAAAGCUCACUAACUCUACUGUGUGCACUGGAAGGAUAUGGCUUGGGAGCUUCAGCUGGUUAUGCACAGCAGAAGGGCAGCUGAGAUAGGAGAAAUGGCCGUGAAGACCAAGAGUAGCAGAUUGCUACAGCCUGAACUUCUCUCUAGGCCUGGGUCUGUGAGCUCUGUGCUGGAACUCGGAGCCGGUGGUUCUGCUUGAGGCGGCGCUAGGACUGCACUUGGAGAGCUCAGCUCUGGAUCACUCUCUCUGGGGCACAGUUUUCCCUGAAGCCUGUGAGCCCACAUCGUCUAAGGCCACAAAGAAGAAACGUGGCUGCAUUUGUCCUUUGCAGCGCCUAGUUGGCCCGAACUGAGGGCCACCCUACCUAGGCCUGCUUCCUGCACGACACUGCACCAUGGUACCCUGGGAUCUUGUAUCUUCUCCGAGGACUGCGCCCAUCCAUAGCCGUCCCUCCCUGAGCCCCCGAGUCAGCCUCAAGACCACCCAGGACAUCGUGCCCAUCUCCUUCCACAGCAACUGCUUGGAGGCCUCUCUUCACUGUACAGCCAGCCCAGGACUUAGAAAUCUUGACUGUGGAACCAGAGACUGACCCCCCUCUGUGGUUGAUUUGGUUUACAACUGAGACUUGAUGGCACGCUCCUGCUGUAUGCUGGAGUUUGCUGUGGAUGGUCUUCCCUGUCCUGUGGCCAUGGGAGCUCAGAGCAGCAGCCUGCUUAGAGUGGUGUCCAGCUGCAGUUGAGCUCAACUCUCAGCACAAGUUACCCAGGGAAGUUUGAAGUCGAGCAAGUGAUGCCCUGGCCCCUCUGCCAGCCAACCUAGCCAAUCCUGAGGACUGGAGCCUUUGGUCCUGCCUUUUAAAGCCCCUAAAUGCUGCUAAUAUCCAGCCAGGAUGAGUAAAAAGUUCAGACAGGAAGACUUGAUAAGAGAGUGGAGAGAAAGGAGGACACAAGACAAGGGCCAAAGACUUGGAAAGCACAAGCCUCCCACCCCUCCACCUUCUGACCAUUUAGUUGGUCUUGGUGUUGGCCUGGGGUGGGUGUGGAGGGACUGGAGCCCCCAGGCUGCACUCUGGCCUACAGGUAUGUUCUGUUUGGCCUGCUCUGGACACACAGGGCAGUUUUUUUUUUUUAAAGUGAAGACCAGUUUCUACAGAUGCAGUUUUCCCUAAGCGUGUUCUCCGAGAUCUGGAGGUAUAGGAAAGAAGGCACGUCAAAGUGUGGGUUCAUUUGGUUUUUUGGGCUAGGUUACCCCAUUCUUGAAAGUGAUGACUGAUACGGAAUAUCACACAAUUUUUCCUUAGGGUUCUAACUAAGGUCUUGAUCUAACAGGGUUUGCUAUUCAUGUUUCAGUUCCCUCACUUUCAACUUCCAC